GCCGAAGUGGCGGAAUUGGCAGACGCACCAGAUUCAGGGUCUGGCGCCCCUCGGGGGUGUGCGGGUUCGACUCCCGCCUUCGGCACCA
rnacentral:tRNA from 1 species